GAUGAACGCUAGCUACAGGCUUAACACAUGCAAGUCGCAGGACUGGCGCACGGGUGAUUAACCCGUAUCCAACCUUCCCAUGACCACGGGAUAACCAGUUGAAAGACGGACUAAUACCUUAUGGUGAUGGAUGUGGAUGCGUCUGAUUAGCUUGUUGGCGGGGUAACGGCCAACGAAGGCGACGAUCAGUAGGGGUUCUGAGAGUACUGUCCCUCACAGUGGAGCUGAGACACCGUCCAGGCUCCGACGUGAGGCAGCAGGGAGGAAUAUUGGUCGAUGUGCGAGAGCCUGAACCAGCCAAGUAGCGUGCAGGACGCCGGCCUAUGGGUGGUAAACUGCUUUUGUGCGGGGAUAGGUACCGAAUGAAUAAGGACCGGCUAAUUCCGUGCCAGCAGCCGCGGUAAUAC
rnacentral:rRNA from 1 species